GCGCCAUGACGGGAACUCUGACUCUAAUGCCUCUUGAAGACAAUGUUCCACCUCUGAGUGACUCUUACCAGCUCCAGCUUACCCACCUUAUUCUCACCAUGAGCAUUUUGAGGGAACAAAAGGGCAACAGGGGCAAGUAACUUUAUCAGUAUUGUGUAUUGGAGGAGGUACAGACCGAUAAAUGGAGAUUCAAGACAAGAUGUAAACUCAGAUGGGCAUGUAACACAUGGUCAAGGUAGCAUUUCAGAAUAGCUGGGAAAAGAGUUCACUAGACAGGGCUGGGAGGUGAUGGGAGGGAGAAACCUGCUUCUUUACCUAAUUCCCUAUAUCAUGUUGAAUUCCAGUUGGAGCCAAGAUUUAAGCAUAAUAAAAUGAAAUCAUAGAGGUACUUAUUAAAAGGAGUCAGCAUUUUAACAGUUCUGGAAUGGGAAAAACACUGUGCAAAAUUCUGAAGCUGUCAAAUAAAAAUGGAACAAAGUCUCUUUGGUUUAAAGACACACACACACUCAAAAGACUCAAAAUGCCAAAUUUGGAAGGCUAUUUGCAACAUUUUCAAAAUGUUUUUGUUUUUAUUUUUUGAAACUUUUUUUUUUUAAUCUGCAACAUUUUUGACACACAAAGUACUAACAUAUUCCAUGAGUACACAUGUUUUACAAAGGAAGGUAGGGAAAGACAGAAAUUAAAACAAGAGGUGAUAAACAUAGGGAAAAAUGCCUUACGUCCAUCAUCAAAUGUGAAUCAUUUCUCCCCCACUAGACUAAAAACAGUGAGAAUUCCGGAAGGGAGAAGUUCAAGGCCACCAGGACCAGGCACCGUCUGCAGGGUCGCUGUGCCAUCUUCUGCCCUUGACCCUUCUCCAUGUGCUCACAGGAUGGCUGCGGCAGGAGCCAGCGUCAUGACCAGGAUCCGGCAGAAAGAAGUGGGGCAGGAGGCGGCUGGUCCAGCAGGCGAUGCGCUUUGCAAGGGGCAGUACUGGGCUCUGCAGCAGAGGAGAGUCCUGACCUGGACUUCUGGGAAGGAGCGACCCGUGAGGUAAGACCUGAAGGAACAAGCAUCAGCCUGGAGGAUGCUGGGAAGCGGCUUCCAGAGAGAAAUGUGCUGGAAGGUCUGCAGGUGAUGAGCAGAGCGAAAGGAGCCGAAAGACAGCUCACGUGUGCAAGACAGGGCGUGAUGUGGAAGCAGGGAGGGACCAGGUCAUCCAGGGCCCCUAAAAGGAACUCAGACUGGCCCCUAAGAACAAGGGUCCAAGAGCUAUGAAGAGUGCUAAUCUCUGGGAGGCCCUGAGCAGUCUGUAGUUUAUCCCUUUCCUGGAAGCCCAGAGCUGAACCCUAACAAGAUAAGUCAUCUGAGGAUUCAGCAAACUAGGGCGACACAGUCAAGGUCAUGAAGGAGUAAGUUCUGUCCAGUUUCCUUGUGAACCAAGGAGGUUUCCAAGAGGCGCAGUGAGCAGAGUGAGCAAUAAAGCUAGGACGGAGUGCUGGGGGCUUGAUCUC
rnacentral:lncRNA from 1 species